CCUACGGGAGGCAGCAGUGAGGAAUAUUGGUCAAUGGGCUUACGCCUGAACCAGCCAAGUCGCGUGAGGGAAGACUGCCCUAUGGGUUGUAAACCUCUUUUGUCAGGGAGCAACGCCGGCUACUUGUAGCCUGACUUAUAUUCCCUGAAGAAAAAGCAUCGGCUAACUCCUUGCCAGCAGCCGCGGUAAUACGGAGUAUGCGAGCGUUAUCCGGAUUUAUUGGGUUUAAAGGGUGCGUAGGUUGUUUUUUAAGUCAGCGGUGAAAGUUUGUGGCUCAACCAUAAAAUUGCCGUUGAAACUGGAAGACUUGAGUGUGGUUGAGGUAGGCGGAAUGCGUGGUGUAGCGGUGAAAUGCAUAGAUAUCACGAAGAACUCCGAUUGCGAAGGCAGCUUACUAAGCCAUCACUGACACUGAAGCACGAAAGCGUGGGGAUCAAACAGGAUUAGAUACCCGUGUAGUC
rnacentral:rRNA from 1 species